rnacentral:ribozyme from 14 species
UGUUUUAUUGCAAAUAAUAAUAAUAAAUAAUAAAAAAAAAAAAAAUAACAACAAACACCACAGAAUUGCUCUUUGUGCAGCUGCUUCUAUUUUAUACAUCAUUCAUCUUGUCAUUUCAAAAUUUUUGUACC